UGAAUUAGGCUGGGAUGCAGAAGAACCCAGCUAACAUCCUAACCAUGGGGCCAUCUUUCCUCCCCACAGUCCCCACACUUUGUCUCCUCCCCAAAUGUUAAGCAGCCUCUUUUCACACAGAUGAGUGUAUCCACUUGCUUCACAUUCCUCUUCCCUUCAUGCUGCUCACAGAAUAAUUUGUUCUACAACUGGCAAAGUCUAGCUCAGCUGUAUGGAAGUCAUUGUAGCUGUACUAAUCUAUACCUGCUAAGAAUCUGGCCCUCCAUCUUUACCAGAGUGGGAGCUAAAAUUAGAGUAUGGAGCCUUGGAUCAUAAUGUACUCUCCUUGCAGAGCCUCAAGGGCCAGCAUUGUGCAAUCAAGAACCAGGUCACAGCUGGGACUCUUACCAGCAAUUUAUCCAGGAGACCUGCAGAGCAAGACAGCGAACAGCUCAGCAGAACAAGAGGAGGAUUCUGGGCUCUUCCAUUUUCAGGGAAGAGCACUUCAACAUUGAUAAGAGAAGUACCUAUAGCACUGAUUUCAAACAAUGGAGUGGAGGCUAUGAUGGGCAGUGUACAACACAUAGGAAUGUCUCCAACAUUUUCUUUCAAGAUGGCUGCCACAACCAGAACCCCUGGAUUUCAGAAUACAAGGACAACUACAGCGUUUUCUUGCAGAGGCUCAACUGGCAAUCACACAACUCCAUCUCUGGUCUGUGUUCACCUGUAAAGCCCUUCUCACACCUUUCUCAUGGGCUGUCACCUCAGAAGCCCAUUGCAGUGAACACGGCCUUUUGAAUAUUGUUACAGAGUCAGUGCUGCCUUUAAGACUCUGCUUUGAGAGCUCUCCAACGUGCCAGCCAUGAUAUUAUCUGGGAGACCAUUGAUGCCUGGGCAGCCCUUUGUGUUCCACAUUUGUCAUUGCCUUUAUAAACUUGUUUUGAAGUAAUUCAUACGGAUCUGUCGGUAUUCACAUUUUUAUUACACCUGAACCACCACACUGGUUUUAAACUCCAGAUGAAGAACACACUUCAGUUCAGUGAAAUAUGUUCAGCUGAAAAAAUAUUUAG